GACAUUUUAUAGGAUUGCUAAAUACAGGAUUAUGUAACCAAUAAAACUAACAGAUUUCCUAAUCUAUCUGUGUAACCACGAACAAUAAUCAUGAAAAUGACUUUGUAUCACACCCACUGAUUCAUUCAUUGAAGUAGGGUAUAUAAAACUGCAGACAAAGUUUAUCUUCAGAACUUUUUUUUGGCUGCUCAUACAACUGUUUUCAGAAGUACAGAACCAAUCAUACAACAUGAAGCCUGUGAUCUUAUUGUUUUUAUUUGCUGCAACAACUGCUGCUUUUCCAGCCCUGUCAAGAAAACAUUAUUCCCAGUUGUCUUCAUCUUUAUCUUCAUCAUCAUCAUCUGAAGAAGAAGAAGAAAGGCCAAAGAGCACCUCGACAGCUCUGCCAAGCACAAUUAAAACUGUUACUGCAACAAUGCCUACCACAGCUACACCUUCUACACCUCUCAGUAACUGCACCAUUAUUACAGAUCCUUUUGAUACCACACCCUCAGGACCAGCCAGUACUAUGACUACAGGUAGUAGAGGUGAUAACAACAUUAAAGCGUAUGUAGCAAAACACCAGUAUGUUAAAUAUUAAAUGUACAAUACCUGCUAGAUUAUCCAAUACACCUGAUAAUCAGAUCAAAAUUGGUGUUGAGAGAGGAUUGCCGAUAAAUGUGUUUCCACAGUAAUUUAGAAUCUGUAUUUUUCCAUGUAUUAUGCUAUAGACCUGUUGUCUUUGUUUUGGUUAUACACAGCUGAAAAACCAUCCAUGCACUCAUAUGUACUUUAAUAAAGAUAAACAUACCUUUAUACAAUAAAGUGUAAACCAUACCAAGUAACCUGUAUAGAAUGCCUUCCACAUACACUGAUAUUAAAUCAUAUGUACCAAGCUUUAGCUUAAGUUAAUUGUAGGCUGCUUUUUAUGUCUGUUUUAAUGUAAUAAAUCAUACAUGAUACCUUGAUUUUAGUGGAGAUGAAAAACAAAUAAAGCUGGAUCACUUUU